GGUCGAUUAACUCAGUUGGUUAGAGUGUCGUACUAAUAAUGCGAAAGUCAUGAGUUCGAACCUCAUAUUGACCA
rnacentral:tRNA from 1 species